AUUUCUAUGACGUUAGCCUUGUGGAUGGCUAUAACUUGCCUAUGUUAGUGAGCCCACAAGGUGGUACCGGCGCCGGUAAUUGUUCGGCAACUGGGUGUGUUGUGGACCUUAAUGGGCCGUGUCCGGCGGAGCUGAAGAUGAUGAAUACCGGUGGCGACGGAAGCAGCGGCGAGUGCGUGGCAUGCAAGAGCGCGUGUGAAGCGUUUGGGGAUCCCAGAUAUUGUUGUAGUGGGCCUUAUGCUACGCCUGAUACAUGCAUGCCGACGGAUUACUCGGAGUUUUUCAAGAGUUUAUGCCCACGCGCUUACAGCUAUGCGUAUGAUGAUGGGACCAGCACCUUCACUGGAGCUGAAGAUGAUGAGUACCGAUAGCGACGGAAGCGGCGGCGAGUGUGUGGCAUGCAAGAGCGCGUGUGAAGCGUUUAGGGAUCCCAGAUUUUGUUGUAGUGGGCCCUAUGCUACGCCUGAUACAUGCAAGCCGACGGAUUACUCGGAGUUUUUCAAGACUUCAUGCCCACGCGCUUACAGCUAUGCGUAUGAUGAUGGAACCAGCACCUUCACUUGUGCUUCUGCUGAUUAUGUCAUCACAUUUUGUCCUGCUCCUGCCGCUAGGUACAUUAUACAUACUUCGCCGCUUUCCUUAUCAAGCAAGUUCUUUUCUCAAUUUGGUUCAAUUUAAUGUCUCUUCGGUUUCUCCUUUUUUAGUUUUUCCAAUUAAUUUCCCUUUCUCCAUGGUUUUUUAAUAUUUGGCGUUGAGGUGUAGCUUUAGUUUAGUUAAACCUUUAGGGAUAUUUUGGUUGGAAAUUAGUUAUCCCAAAAUUAAUUAUUCAGAAUUUGUUGUCUCGAGUUUCCAUAGGGAAAGAUAAUAUUACAAUUCUAAAAUUAGUUAUAUCGCGAUUUUAUCUCAACUAAACGUGCCAUAAGUUCAUUUCAAAUUUAAUUUUGAAAUAAGUUUUUAUAUAUAUAUAUACAUAUGUUGAUAGGUUAAUUAAAUCAUUUCGUUAGUGCCUUCCAAUAGAAUUAUUUAUUAGCAAAGCAUGUGUUUGGUUAGGCUAAGAAGUAGUGAUAUCAUGCAAAAGGGCGGUUAUUUGGUGAGAUUUGUUAAACAAGUAACAUGGAAUGCAAAUAUAUAUGUUUCAUGUUCUUGUCGGAAAUGAGAGCAUAUGUGUUGUCAGUUGUCUCACACUACCUUUUGAUCUUAGAAUGAGUCACACCUAGAAGUGAAGCUCAAAGUAUUGUUGGCUUGAUUUUAAGCAAACUAAGAAAUUCCAAAAGCUGAGAAUAGGAUGGGAGAGGGUUGGGGCCAUGUGAUAGUGCUUACAUCUUGGCUUCUAAUAGUCGGUUUGUUGUGUCAUUUUAAUAAGAAGCUAUGCUUUUCAUGUUUACGUAGAUUCAAAAUGCUUACUUAUGUUCUAACAAAUUGAGGCACCGUCCACGCUCAAUUAUCAAUGUUAU
rnacentral:lncRNA from 1 species